CUCCAGGCAGUUAAGCCAAUGGACGGUGUGGGGGUGGGGGAUAGCAUUCAAUGGCUACAAAGAGCAGCCUCCUUGGAGUAUAUACAUCCUACUGCUUGUACAGGUUCCCCUAAGGACUCUGGAGAGUUUU